AUUACAGAGUUCUCGCCCUCGCGGGUAGACCUCCCACCCGUGUGAUUGCUACCGUCGUUGCUUUGGCGGGCCGCUGGGCUCCGGCCCGGCCACCGGCCCCGGCUGGUGCGCGCCCGCCAGAGGCUCCGCAAACUCUAGAUGUCAACGUCGUCCGAGUACUAUACAAUAGUUAAAACUUUCAACAACGGAUCUCUUGGUUCUGGCAUCGAUGAAGAACGCAGCGAAAUGCGAUAAGUAAUGCGAAUUGCAGAAUUCAGUGAGUCAUCGAAUCUUUGAACGCACAUUGCGCCCUGUGGCAUUCCGCAGGGCAUGCCUGUUCGAGCGUCAUUUCAACCCUCAAGCCCCGCUUGGUGUUGGGCCCUGCCCCUCGCGGCCGGCCCCAAAGAAAGUGGCGGUGCCGCCUGGCUCCAAGCGCAGUACAACCCUCGCUCUGGACCCCGGCGGCGUCCUGCCAGAACCCCAAACUUUCUAUGGUUGACCUCGGAUCAGGUAGGGAUACCCGCUGAACUUAAGCAUAUCAAUAA
rnacentral:misc_RNA from 1 species